CCAAAUUUUUGCAAGUAAUAUUGGUGAUGGUAGGAAUGAUAAUACUGGUCCUGAUCAAAAUCUAGAUAAUACGAGUAGUUUGAUGAUGGAAUUGAAUGUAGAUCAAGAUGUAAAUAGUACGACUACUUCUGAUACAGGGUGAUAAUUUUUCCUAUGUACUUGUUUAAUUUUUUAUUGAAGUAGUGGCGUUAUUGAUUGUUAAUGAAUGUUCUUUAAUGUAGAGUGCAUGUGCAUGACUGAUGAACCUUUUCGCCUUUUGCCCCAGCCAGACCAUUUUUUAACUUACCAUAUUACAUUUUUUGCGUUCAAACAAAUGAUGCAUAUGAAGGAGUUGAAGAGCUGAGAAGAAAAUUGUUAGGCGUAUCACAGGAAAAUGAAAAAUUAAAACAUCAACUUGCUGGUGUCAUGGUGUCAAACGUGUUUUAAGUGAAAACCAAAUCAAGAAAAUAAAUAUCCAGAAAAGAAUUUCUUCGUCAGUAAGCGAAAUCUCAAAUGCAAUAGCAGAAUAUGCGGCUGGACCAAGGGUAUAUAAGCUUAGCUUAAAAAGAGGUUUUCCAUAUCCUGCUGUUUUAACACUUAAGCAGUGGCUGAGGAAAAUAAAACUGGAACCAGGUAUUUUAAAAAAUGCUCUAAGAAUAGCUGAAUUUGCUUCAAUGAAUAGAAAAGAACGUGCAUGCACCAUAAUGAGAUAAAAGUUAAAAGGGAAUACCAAUAUGAUCAGGCAAAUGAUUGUGUAAUGAAGCCCUAUAGUUAUGUACAGGUUGUUUUAAUCAAAGGGAUAUUAAAGCCGUGGAAGCAACCUAUAUUCUACGACUUUUACUGUAAAAUGACAUCUACUCUACUAAUGGCAAUCAUUAAAUUUGUGGAAGAAUCAGGUUUCCAUGUUGUGGCUAUGAUUUGUGAUUUGGGCGGUGCUAACCGAGGAUUUCAUAGCGAAUUGGACAUAUCUGCGUCAAAGCCAUAUUUCCAAAAUCCCAUCAACAAUGAAAAAGUUUUUGUAUAGGCUGAUGUCCCUCACCUCAUAAAACUUAUUAGGAACAAUUUUGUGGACUAUGGUUUUUAAUUAACAACAAAGUGAUUAAAAAAGACAUUAUAGAACAAGCAAUAAGUGCCACUAGUGCUUUGGAUUUGAAAAUCACCCAUAAAAUAACUUUAGGACCAAACUAUUUUCUCACACCAUCUCGAGUGCAAUAUCACGGUGUGGAAUACUGGGAUAUUUAACUGCGGAAAAUUGUUGAUUUGUUUAAAAUGGUUAAUGAUUGGUUUGAUGUGUUUAAUGACAGCACCCCCAUUAGUGAUUCAAGAACAAGAAAUAGAGCCUAUGGGGUUAAAAGUAAUUGGCAGCCGAAGCCAGUAUCCAUUUCAAAAGGGUAUUUCGAUAUCUAAUCAGGCUUUACAAAUGCUCCUUGUAAAUAUGACACGCCGUUUUGACGUGCAAUAUUUGUUAACCAGGCGUAUAAAUCAAGAUGCGAUAGAAAACUUUUUUGGGAUAAUCAGAGCAAAAGGGGGCCUUCAUGAUCAUCCUAGUCCUAUGGAAUUUAAGUAUAGGUAAAUUAUUGUCUAGAGAGGCCAGCUAAGGUAGUUAUUUAGAAACUUAUUUUUAUAUUCCUCUACAGGUUGAGAUCUUACAUUUUGGGUAGAAAUGAGGGUGUAUAUCCAGAGUUUUCAAACAUGGAAGCAGAUGAUACCCCAGACAUCCCACUCAGCGGAGUACUCGUUGAAAAAUUGAAUAUCAUUCCUUCUGUAGCAGAUUGAAAUGAAAACAUUUCUGCCCUAAGAGAGGAAUUGAAUGAGUUGGUCUACGAUGGACUCAAAAAUUUAGCUGGUUUUAUUUGCCACAAACUUAAAGAUUCUGGUUUGGAAAUCACUUUGAGUGAGAGCUACUCCUGUAUAAUGUUAUCACAUUCUUAAAUUCAUUUGUUCUUGUCAAAGUUAUAUUAGAACAUUUUUCUUUUAUUAUGAUAGAAUGCAAUAAGGUCCAUAUUUUAAUUUAUACAAAUCAGUAAUAUUUAAUGAACCCUUUGGCUUAUAUAAAUUUAUUGUUGGUUUUAACAUUGGCACAUAAUUAUUUUGUUUUGAAUUUUUUUCCAAAGGUUCAAUUUUAUUUUUGAAAGCAGAUCCCCAAAUAGAAAUUAGAUACUGAAUUUUAGA